GAAGCGCAUUCAGUGUCUCCUGGCAUCCUCGUUGCAAUAAAACCAUUUGCGCAAGAACUGCCGACAGCCGAGCACAACACGUGCUCCGUAGGAAAUGCAUGCAGGUUCACCUGCCGGAGUUUCGUAGGGCAUCAAGCCGUUAUCUACACGGAGCCUGACCUUGACCUGACAGGGCGUUCGUGCGAUCCAGUUAGUAUCUUUUUUCAGUCUGGUGAAGAACGGGAAGUCAGAGCACGCGCAAUUUUUGCGGUUAAGAAAGCACACAGAAUAAGCCUCUGCACAGCUUCGGCGCAUCACCCAAGCACAGCAGGGAAAGCACUGAUGUUUCGAGAAACCGUGCAGAAGAAGUGGCUGGGAAAGACGGCUUCAGGAAACAGCAAGGGGCAAGUCCUACGUUAUUUCGAUAAAUGAAAAAAAUAAAAGUGCUCUAUUUGAGCUGGCUUCACUUUCGGAAAAAGGUGCUCUUUAUUCUGCAGGUGGAAUGGGACAGGAGGAUGGACCUUAGAAAUUAGGCUUCAGAAAACAGCG